AUUCCAUUUGUGUCUGAGAAAAUAGCUGCCAAAUCCUCAAAUCAAGAGAGUCAAUUUGUGUCUUGUUUAUAAAAGUAAAAAUGAUAUUCUCUACAAGAUACUAUUAGUGCAUCUGGUAACUUCCAUCAUUUCCUGGUGCUUCUGGGACGAACUGUUGUUCUUGACUUGUAACAGAAUUUCUUGAUGCAUACUUCCUUUUUUUUUCACAUGAAAUAUUAAAAUGAUACAUUUGGGCCGAGAGUUUAGAAAAUAAUUAUUUGCUGUUUUUGAGACAGAGCCUCAUUAUGCAACUCUGGCUGUCCUGGAAGCUCAUUAUGUAGACCAACCUGACCUUGAACUCACAGAGAUAUUCUUAUUUGUGCCUCUUAAAUGCUGGGAUUAAAAGUGUGUACAGCGUCACCUGGCUAAUGGGUGAAAAUUAUCCUGCAUUUGUUUGCUUGUGUCACAAAGUACGUAUCAGUAAGGAAACAGCCAUUUAUACUGUUUGAAACUGUGGCUUGGAUUCCGGCUAAAGGCAUCUUUGCUUAUUUUUGUUUUGCCCUGUCAGUCAGAAUGCAGCACAGAAGUUGCAGUGUUGUGGUGAAAUCACUUUGCAUUCGUAGCCCCUCCAUUGCCCAGGAUCUGUGGACACACGUUGAGAUGACUCGUUACAGGAUGUUUUGAGAAGUGACUUGGUCACUUCUGCUGCCUCCGCACCUCUGCACUCCUAGAGCAUGAUUAUAGCCGCAGAGGAAUCUGCAUUUUAAGCUAGGAUGCAUGAGGAGUACUUUAGGAAAGUAUUUGCCCUAAGAUUAGACUUAACCUUAAGACAUUCUCUUUUCCAAUCUAAUUUUUAUUUUGUUUAAAUGUGUAAGGGCCUGUGUGUCCUGGCGUGCUCGUGGGACCACCAUGAAGGUCAGGGAUCCAAGACGCUCACUAUGUAGCUAGCCAUGGCUGGCCCUAAGUUCACUAUGUAGACCAAGUUAGCUUCAACUUGCCUGCCUCUGCCUCCCUCGUGCUGUUGUACCUGGAAUUUUUGGUUGUUUUGUUUUGUUUUGUUUUUUCGAGACAGGGUUUCUCUAUAUUGCCCUGGCUGUCCUGAAACUCACUCUGUAGACGAGGCUGGCCUCAAACUCAGAAAUUCGCCUGCCUCUGCCUCCCAAGUGCUGGGAUUAAAGGCGUGCACCGCCACCACCCGGCUGUACCUGGAAUUUUUACACCUAAUCAUUAUAGACCUGUGUCUGAUCUGUUGUUGAAGAGCAGCAUGUUGUAAGUGAAUUGUGAUUCUAGCCAACUAGGUAAGCCAGUGGCCUGAUUAGAAAACCAUUUGCUUCCUGAACCCAUAGUUUAAAUGUCUAACAAGUCUCCCCAAGCUGGGCUGUGCUUUAUUCUGCAGUUUGCCCUGCCUUCUUUUAUCUGGCCUGUGGGUUUGGUUGAGGCUGUCCUGUUUUGUUAGUUUAGGUGAUGCUCCUAGAUUUGGUCUAAGUAGCUCUCGACUGCCAUCUCAACUGUGCCAUCUCUGAGUCUGUUUUUCUGUCAAUGAGAUGCAUAUGAUGGUGAAAUAUUUCUAGACCAGGUGUGGGGAUGCACACUAUAAUCUCAGCGGAAUUGUGAGUUCAAGCCUAGGCUAAUAGUGCCCUACCACCCAUUCCCAUCCCCCACCUCUGUCUCUAACAAGGAAAACAAAGAAUUCGUAGUGGUAGCUGGUGGGAUUGGUGCCUGCAGAUGGACAGACUACUUGCACACUGUUGCUGAAGAGAACGGGCAUUCUCUCUUCCACUUUACCUUCCCCUUCUCCCUCUCCCUCUCUCCCUAAGAUUAGGUCUCCUGUAGUCUAUUCUGACCUGGAACUAGAAUUGUAAGGGAAGAUGACCUUGAACCCCUGAUCCACCAGCAGUCUCCAACACAUCUUUGUAACUAGUGUACUCUUUGUUCAGAAGAAAUUUGUUUCCUGUUUUUGUUUUGUUUGUUUUUAAUGCUCAUGAAGGUAAAUGGCCUUGCAAGCAAGCAUCCUCUGCCUAUGAAAAUGCUCGUCUUUGUAUUAAAGUCAAAAUUUCUCCAGUGAGAUGGUUAAGGAAAAAAAACAAUUGUUCUCGGUCUUUGGGGGACAUGAUAAUUAGAGAACAGCUAACCCCAUCAGUGCCAUUAGGAAGGAUUUUAAAGUUGGUUCAUUUGUCUUUGCUGCCCUGGAAGCAAAUAUUCAACAUUUCCCCUGUUGAUACCAAUCGUUUGCUUAGCAAACUUUCUUAAAGAUUAAUAAUGUCAAGUUGAAAUUUUGCCUAGCUUGUCUAGAUGAUCCCAAAAAUCAGAGCAGGCAGUGAUGAGCCAGGAGGCUCUCCUGUGAGCGCACUGCCAGUCACCGGGGCAGGAGUUCGGGUCUUGUGUGGGUGCCCGGUUCCUAGGGAUGUUUCUGUUUUUCUUGUUAAUUAAAGCAAGCAUGAGAUCACCAGAAGACUGGUCUGCAGCUGGCAAAAUAAAUAUGUGCCUUCUG
rnacentral:lncRNA from 1 species